rnacentral:rRNA from 1 species
GACGUAGGGCGCGAGCGUUGUCCGGAUUUAUUGGGCGUAAAGAGCUCGUAGGCGGCUUGUCGCGUCGUCUGUGAAAUCCCGCGGCUCAACUGCGGGCUGGCAGUCGAUACGGGCAGGCUGGAGUUCGGUAGGGGAGACUGGAAUUCCUGGUGUAGCGGUGAAAUGCGCAGACUAUCAGGAGGAACACCGGUGGCGAAGGCGGGUCUCUGGGCC